ACCUACGGGGGGCAGCAGUGGGGAAUAUUGCACAAUGGGGGAAACCCUGAUGCAGCGACGCCGCGUGAGCGAUGAAGUAUUUCGGUAUGUAAAGCUCUAUCAGCAGGGAAGAAAAUGACGGUACCUGACUAAGAAGCCCCGGCUAACUACGUGCCAGCAGCCGCGGUAAUACGUAGGGGGCAAGCGUUAUCCGGAUUUACUGGGUGUAAAGGGAGCGUAGACGGCUUUGCAAGCCAGAUGUGAAAGCCCGGGGCUCAACCCCGGGACUGCAUUUGGAACUGUGGGGCUAGAGGGUCGGCGAGGCG
rnacentral:rRNA from 1 species